rnacentral:lncRNA from 1 species
UAAGACAGUGGAAACGCUCCGAUUAGAAGGUGCAAAAGCGUCAGAAGAUUACCAAUCCUUAGCUUUAGAGUUAGAGAAAUCAAGGUCUCAAGUAAGCUCACUGGAGGAACUUGUGAGCAAACUUCAGGAUGAUUUGGUCAGUGGAGUCGGUUUAUCUCCUCGCUUACCUGCAUUGGAAGUUGUAGAAAGCGAGGAGAUAAACCGGCUCAAAGCCGAGCUUGUUUCAGUUAAAGCUGAAGCAGGGCAGCUAAAAUCUGCACUGGAUGGUGCCGAGGUAAGAUAUCAGAAUGAGUAUAUCCAAAGCACAUUGCAGAUUAGAAGUGC